GGCACCGUGGCCUAAUGGUAAGGUUAGUUUCACGCUGCCUACCACCUCUCCCUCCGGGUCAAAUACUCAUUACGACGACAGGCGUUGCUUUCCGGUCAAGGAGAUUGGCAAAGAUUGUGGGUUCGAGUCCCAUCGGUGUCG
rnacentral:tRNA from 1 species